rnacentral:rRNA from 1 species
AUUGAACUGAAGAGUUUGAUCAUGGCUCAGAUUGAACGCUGGCGGCAGGCCUAACACAUGCAAGUCGAGCGGAUGAAGGGG